AUUGAACGCUGGCGGCAGGCCUAACACAUGCAAGUCGAGCGAGUGGCGGACGGGUGAGUAAUGUCUGGGAAACUGCCUGAUGGAGGGGGAUAACUACUGGAAACGGUAGCUAAUACCGCAUACCAUCAGAUGUGCCCAGAUGGGAUUAGCUAGUUGGUGGGGUAACGGCUCACCAAGGCGACGAUCCCUAGCUGGUCUGAGAGGAUGACCAGCAAUACUGUAACUGAGACACGGUCCAGACUCCGACGGGAGGCAGCAGUGGGGAAUAUUGCACAAUGGGCGAAAGCCUGAUGCAGCCAUGCCGCGUGGAUUAAGAAGGCCUUCGGGUUGUAAAGUACUUUCAGCGGUGAGGCGUUACCCGUAGAAGAAGCGCCGCCUAUCUCCGUGCCAGCCGGAGCGGUAAUAC
rnacentral:rRNA from 1 species